ACUGCCUGGGUGCCCCUUGUACCGGGUCCGUAGUCGGAAUUCCCGGUUCGUACUCGCACCCUCUUCGUGGGAGCGUUGGGGGAGGCGAGGGAGGGGCGGUAUAUUAUGCGCGUCGGGACACGAGAGGGUUGCUAGGGUGGUGGCUCAGAAGCCUAUGUAGGUAGGUGUCGGUCUAGACGAGAGGGGAGAGAGAGCUAGGUGUCUUUAGCGUUAGCUGUGGCUCUAGCGGUUCUGGCAGCUGCGGUACCGCGUCUCCCGCGACCUCGACUGGGACUAUAGCCCGUUCCUGGAGUUCCUGCACUUGGAGAAGAGCCGGUACCUCCACAUGCGCCAGCAGAGGGAGAGGCCGCUGGGCGCGAGCGCGGUCGCGCAGCGGUGGCUGGCGCGGCCGCCGGCGUUGGGCUGGACCUUGCGCUGACAGGCCAAGUGGCAGGGGCGGUUGCGGCGCCCCAGGCAGGUGCACGACGAGGCGCGGCUCGCGCGGGAGCCGCUGGCGCUGCAGCCGCUCCAGGUGUAGGGCGAGAGGCUCGACGAGAGGCCGCGGGGACUCCCGGGACAAGGCCAGUUCAAGCAGCGGAUGGUCCAGGCGUUCUAGCCCAGGCCCUUCGGGGUCCCCCAGGAGUUGAAGAGCAUAUUCGAGCCGCUCCACUGUGUCCCGGUCCGGCGACCGCGGAUGCCACCACGCGUCCGGCGCAUGCGCGUCGGAGGGGGGCGGCGGCGCAUGGGCGGCGUCCCGCGCAUAGGAGGCCGGCCGUUCCGGCUGCGGAUGCCCCGAGGCAGGCGGAUAGGUGGCGGACCAUUGCGCAUGGGCGGAGUCAGGCGCAUGGGCGUCCGCCGGUUCCGGCUGCCCCGUCGUUGGCGACCACGGAUGGGCGGAGGGAGGCCGAUGGGUGGGCGACCGUUCUGUCCGCUCGGUAGGUGGCGGAUGGGGCGUGGGCGGCCGAUGGGUGGGCGACCAGGCAGUCCUUUCGGCCGCUUCCGUCCGCUCGGUCACUGCCGGAUGGGUCGCCGGCGCCGCCCUGGGUCGUGGCCGCGAGGGAUGCCGCGGGGCGGGGGCGUCAUGCCGAUGCCCAUGGGUGGCGUCGUCGGCCGGCCCAUGCCGAUGGGCGGGGGCGGCGGCGUUCCUCCCAUGCCGCCGAUGCCGAUAGGUGGUGUCGUCGGGCGGCCCAUGCCCAUGGUCGUCGUCCGGCACUUCGGCGGCUUCUUCUCGCCGUACCCCUACCCGGAGCCGCGCCCCGAGGAGCCUCCGCGCGAGCCGCCCGAGGAGUAGCCGCUGUACUAGAGGCUGAGGCGGCCGCCCAUACUACGGCCGAUGCUGCGGCCCAAGCUGCUGCCGCCACCGAAGCUAAAGAUCUAGCAGCCCCUCCUAGCCUACACGUCGUCGUGUCAAGAAAACAUGCGAGAACCAUAAAUAAGUCAAGAAAGCAGAAGUCUAAAAGGCGAGUUUUAGCGGCCGCGGAGACACGCGACGAUCACACUAUACCAUUACAUUUAUACUCAAAAUUGUACUAUACAAGACAUUUAAAGACAGAGAUAACCCGAGCUUAGCGACUAUUAAACCGGCACAACAGAAACACGAGUAAGUAAACUAUGCAAACUAGUUUGAAACGC
rnacentral:rRNA from 1 species